CGAAUUCGCCCUUCCUACGGGAGGCAGCAGUGGGGAAUAUUGCGCAAUGGGCGGAAGCCUGACGCAGCGACGCCGCGUGGGGGAUGACGGCCUUCGGGUUGUAAACCUCUUUCGACUUCGACGAAGCCUUUCGGGGUGACGGUAGGGGUGGAAGAAGCACCGGCCAACUACGUGCCAGCAGCCGCAGUAAUACGUAGGGUGCGAGCGUUGUCCGGAAUUAUUGGGCGUAAAGAGCUCGUAGGCGGUCUGUCGCGUCGGUCGUGAAAACUUGGGGCUUAACCCUGAGCUUGCGGUCGAUACGGGCAUGACUGGAGUUCGGCAGGGGAGACUGGAAUUCCUGGUGUAGCGGUGAAAUGCGCAGAUAUCAGGAGGAACACCGGUGGCGAAGGCGGGUCUCUGGGCCGAUACUGACGCUGAGGAGCGAAAGCGUGGGGAGCGAACAGGAUUAGAUACCCUGGUAGUCCACGCCGUAAACGGUGGGCGCUAGGUGUGGGGGCCAUUCCACGGUCUCUGUGCCGCAGCUAACGCAUUAAGCGCCCCGCCUGGGGAGUACGGCCGCAAGGCUAAAACUCAAAGGAAUUGACG
rnacentral:rRNA from 1 species